AGGCUGUGCAACAUAACAGAAUUUUCAUAUCCAAUUUUUCCAAAAAUUAGUAAUAAAAAAAUUGUUUAUAUAUAUUUACUAUGUUAAUAGGAUUUAAAAUUUUAUAAUGCACUUUGACAAAGCAUUCCUGUGGACAAUUGGUCAGCAAUUCAGUUAACUUUAUUUAAUUUAUUGUUGUUUAAACAUAGCCUUAUUGUUCACCCUGUUAUUAUCAGCUUGCAUAAUUAAAAACAUUUUGUGCUUUUUUUUCCAGUAGACAAACAAUAAUAAUGUUCUCUGAAAGAACAAUGUUUUAAAAAUAUACUGAUUACAUUUCAUUGACAACAAGGUAGAUCUAGUUCCGGACUACCAAUUGUCUGGGUGAAAGUUUCAUGCAACAUCCAUCCUAAUCAUUCCUGAUCUUGCCUUUUGUGUUACAGCUUGAAACAUUUAGCUGAAAAAAUUACAUGAUACAGUAAGUCCUCGGUUUACGUCGGGGUUACGUUCCUGAAAACCGCGACGUAAAUAGAAACGACGCAAAAUGAGCCAUGUUUCAUGCCACCGGCCGGCCACGGCCCAAGGUCGGCCGGAAGCGCUGGCAUACAGACGUGACAACGGGCAAUUUUAUCAGCAAAUGACAACCGACAGCGUGGGAAACAAGUCCAACUAGUACUUCUCAGCUUUAUAGAAUGGUUAUUUAACCAGCUGCUUUAAUACCUUUAUUGAUUGAAAUAUAAAAACAGAUAUAUAGUACAUACUGUACGUAAUAUAAACGCAUAAUGCAUUCAAAGUGUAAGGAUACAAAGUGGUUUAGCGCUACACAGAUUUUACUUUGAGUCAUUCGCGGGAGAAAACAACCGUUUUCUUUAGGAGGCUGGUAAGAACAAAGUCAAAAGAAAUGCAUACAUACAAUAAAAGUACUAUAAGUAUGACAAACAUUGAGAGAACUUGAUUUAAAAUAAUCACAUGAAGUAAUAAACACCUAAAAGAGGUUAUACAAUAGCGCGGCGCAAUUCUUACAAUUUACGUACGGGAAUAAAUCUAAUAAAAAUCAAUGUAAAAUAUUUUUCAUGAGAAACACUACUUUAAAUUUACGUCGCAAACAAUAUAAAUUAUAUCAUUUUACGUAACAUUUUAAAUGAAAAAGCUCUGAAUACACUACACAUAGCGACUGAAGUGCCAAGGAGUUGGACGAAAAGGGGUAGGAGAAAAUGCUGUGUCGUUGCGGGAAGUAGAUAACACUUCUACGUGCGAGAUACGUGGGUGGCCGAGCGGGCGGGCUGGUAAUAUUGCAUCACCGCGCGGAGAGCAGGAAGCGUUCCUCAUGAUGUAUGAUAAGAUAAGGCGGUGAACGUGUAGCUUACGCUACAUAGCAUAAAUUAACUCCCGAAGGAAACAAAGAAUUAUAAACGAAUUAUAUACGGUGUUUUGGUUAAAAUAAAGAUUUACUGUCAUUGUAAACGACGUUAUUGUGAAUCGGCGACAACUUAAAUUGAAACAUGAGUACUCAAACAUUAGCGACGUUAAUCCGAAACGACGUAAAUCGGUACGACGUAAAUAGAGGACUUACUGUACCUAGUCUUGCUGCAGACUUUACAAAACAUUGCACAGUUUUAAUGCCCACUCAAUACUUUGACCCUGUCCAUCACUCAUUUUUUAACUAGUGUAGCCUCUCAAUUAACAGAGUUAAUGUGGACCACAGUAACCUCGGAUAAGCAAAAUCUUGAAUAACACAGAUAAAAUAGAAAAAGUCUUGGUUUUCACUCGGCAUAAUGGUAUCAUUAUUCGGGGUGAUAUCCACCAUAUCUCGCAGAUUAGAGGUUUUGUUUUGUUUGUGUACAGUAUGUUGCAUGUGAAGGCAAUGUACUCACAGCUUAAGGACCUUGUCCUUGCCCCCGGAGGCGACCCGAGCCCCGUCCGGCGACCAGUCCACGGCAAACACCUCGUCCGCAUGGCCCGGCAAGUCUAGUUCCAGCUUUUUCGUUUUCAUACUCCACACUGUUGGUCAACAUUUCUCUCAUCAAUACUUCAGCACACAUAUUUUGCACAUAUUUUGACAUCAGCAUUAGAGGUUGUGAAAUCAUCCUCCAAGAUGAGUUAUUAAUUAAAAUAUAUAGUGAUGGUAUUUUCGAUACUUCGAUACCUCGAUACUUGACGAUAUCGCAAAGUAUCGAGUAUCGAAACUGUAAGUUCGAUACAUUUUUUCGAUACCGAAAUGCCUGUUCAUUUGUAUUGAAUUAAGUUUUGAGUCGCCACUGUACAAAAUACAACUACAGUAGAACCUCGAUGAUACGUUCCCGUUUCAUACAUUUUCCCGUGUCAUACGCUGAUUAAUUUUGGUCCCGCCGAAAGUACUAUAUUUACAAUGGUUUAUUUUCCCGGAACAUACACUUAUAAAAGCAUUAAUUUCCGGUUUCAUACUUUUUUACGAAGCGGAAAAGACCUAAAAUUCACAAAUUUUUUUUAUAUAUAUUCUCCUCCUGAUAAAUUGUGUUUUAAUUUAUGAUUUUAUUUUGAAAAACGUUCAUUGUUUACCUUUGCAAACGUAAGAAAAUAACUUUAUCGCACCAUAGAUAUGGAUAGUAUCAGGAAGACUGUGCACUUCGCUAGUAGCAUCUAUGGCCAGCACCAAGCGAGACUAGAGGCACAAACUAGCAAUGAUUAUGAAAAUGGUGCACGAGCUUUACCAAGGCACGGAUCUCAUAUUUUGUGCAUUCAUUAAUCUUUGAACUGAAUAUACCCGUUUGUUAUUGUUUUCUUACGAUCGGAUUGUUUUGUAUUUUACGUUUCUCAAGUUAAAAUUUUAUUGAAAAUUGUUCUGUUGCAUAAAUUUGUUUGUAAAAUGAAACAAACAAGCAAAAAUUUCUGAUUUUCUUUUUACAAUAAAGAAAGGACUACAAACAUUUUGUAAGGCCACCGUUUCUCAUGUCAGCUUUACUUGAUUAUGGACUGUAUUUUACAUUUCUGGUGGUUUUAUUAUAUGUAUAUAUAAUGAUGAAUUCAUAUUUUUCAUUAAUAUAAUGCAAUUAUUUACAUUAUGUAUUUAAGUUUAAUCUGACAUUGUGCUGGUAUGAUAGAUUAAAUUUAUAUAGUUUAAAACUAAUUUAUGUUAUUUGUAAUAAUUGUUAAUUAAUGGGAAAAUAUUUUUCCCUGGAGUAUCGAACUGAAAAAAACAAUACAGAAUUGAGUAUCGAAAGUGUGGUAUCGUCCCACCUCUAAUAAUAUAUUUAGGACUUUUAUUUAUAUCCUGGAAGUAGUUAAGGUAACAAGUGCCUUCUAUGCCUUGGUUCAAUGUGUAAGAACAGGGUGCAGCCUUAAAGUUAGCAACAAACAUUAACACACUAGUGCUAAAUAUAGAAAAUGCUUCAAGCUAAGUGCAAGGCAAAGCACUGCCAGUUCAACUGAGUUCCCUACAUCACAUGCAGGCGUAAAGCAAGGAAAUAAAACGGGAUUGCACAGGAAAACUACACAAAUUUUUUUAUUUACUUUAUUCAGAUUUAUGUCUCAUUGAAACCAAUUAUCAUUUGAGAGAAAAAUGCAGCACACAAAUCAGAGAUAUUCGGGAAGGAAUUCAACAUGGGCCGAAAUGUAGCAGGAGUAAUUUCAUGAAACCACGGAAAAAACUGAAAUCAGGAAGUCCUCACUGGGAUUCAAACCCGGGUCUUCCAUGAUUUGAGUCCAGUGUCUUACAACACUAGUACACCCCCCACAGUCCGUAAUGCCCACAAGUGCAGCGUCUUGGAUCAAUACUUCCAUAGUGAUCAUUACUUUACAAAAGUUAAAUCCAGACUAUGUACCUAACCAUACAGGAUGCAAAUAUUGAUCAGAAGUAAAAUAAAACUUCACUUUUCUUUUUCCUCAGUUUCCAGUGAUCAUACAUACACUGCACGACUACUAAACAGCAUGCAGCCCUUUUUAUUUUCCCCCUGUAGUAAUUUAUGUUGUCGAUCUUAUGCAGCAUGGUAAUUCAAUGCUGCAUCAUACUGCAACGGGAGACAAGGCUUAUGUACCUUUGAGGGUGGAGUCAGCGGAGCCGGACACUAGCAGGCGGGAGUCGGCCGACCACGCAACCUGGUAGACAGCCUGGACGUGACCCCGAAGUGCGGCCAGAAACCUGCACACACAAGACCAGCCGCUGCAGGACCAGGGCAGUGAAGGCAGAAUACAGUUAUCUCAUACAACCACCGGACAAAAAUUACAGGUACGUGUUCUUAAUUGUGUUGCAUGUUUCCCAAGAUGGCAAUCUGUCACAUCAUUUAAAUCGUUGAAGCAAUUUUGGAGUCACUAUUGCGAAGAAAUUUGCAGCACAGUAUGAUAGCUGGGGCAGAAGGUUGGAAGAGAGAGAAGCAGAAUGGGUGACGACUGACGAGACAAUGAACCUUUACAAUAUUUUCUGCAAUAUUUUAUACUCCAGCUUAUGAAAUGCCUUUCUUUGUACUUAUGUGUGUGUUAUGUGGAUUCCUGAAUAUAUAUGCCUCACUUCCUUUUUCAUAAAUUUUCUUACCCUAAAUUUGGCUAUAUUUGACAUUUAGAAGUUAUUUUGUUUCUAGUUUUGAUUUUAAUAACUUUAGUCAACUAGUAAGUUAAAUCUGGCACUGUAAUAAACAUAUUUUACAACAACUUUGAAAAUAUACAUUGCAUAAUGUUAUGACUGAGGAGUACAUAAAUUUGUGCAUCAACUAACCACGGCUACGGGACAACUUAGAUGUAAAAAUUAUUGUUGGCAAUGCCUGCAGAUCCAGGUGGUGCUACUAGUAAAACAGUACAACAGGUUCCUUUCAACAUACAUAGUCAUUCUAUAUACGUGAUGAUUAUGCCUUACAUUACUUAAUAUGUUCACAGUUACUAAGUGAAUCCAAACAGAUCAGAAGUGUUUCAAAUAUUGUUUCUCUAUAAAAAAAAAAAAGGGACAUUAAAUAUUUUAUGUACUAAAAGUUUAAACUGUUUACCUAUUCUGAUUACACACAGUACUGAGGGGUUCCAUGCCUCUUAGCAUUUUUAUGAUAAUUUGCAUUUUCUUUAAUUGUAUUUGUAUUUUGGUAAUAACAAUAAUACACUUAAUUAAUAGGGUUAAUGGUAACUUGUUUAGUUUAUAUAAUUUGAGUUUUGUUUUAAACCUUUUAUUGCUGAAAAAAGUGUGUGCAAAAGAAAGGCUGGAUCUAAGGGAAGCUACGCUCUAUGCUGAGUGUCUGUUUCUGGUAUAGGCCACGUUGAGGCGGGGUAGUUGAGUGCAGCACGGCAGAGCAGCGUGUAGCAUCAGCUCCACAGGACUCUUGUGUCGGAACUCUGUGGAGCAACUGUGCCGAGAGAGCACGAAAUAACUGGGCAUGUGCACACAGUCACGGGCUACCUUGAAUGCAAAAUUUGCGGCAGUACCUGACUGUACAAUGCUGCACCUCACAGAAAGCUACCAAGAGGAACCAGCCGCCCGCCUGCCAUAACUUGAUUAAGUACAAGUCUGGUCGAUCUGCAGGCCCCUUUUGAUUAAUGAACUCAUUUUAUCUGCAAAAAAACACUUUGGUGGCGCACAAUAUCUGGUUUCUGUCAAGAGCUUUUUAAAAACUAUAAAUUUAUGCGGGUCACCAACACAUUUUUGGUGUAGGCCCUUGACAAAUUUUGCAUCUGUGUCUUAGAAACCCCUAAGGCCUUUGAACUGGCAAAGGAAAUUUAUAGGACUUAUUUUCACUGCAAAAUGGCUAUGAAUUUUGGACCACGAUAUUCACAUUGUUUGGUUUAGCCAAUCUGCAAGUGGAAAUGCUAGCCAGUUUUCAUCUACUGUGCAGAAAUCGCUUGCGUGAAUAUCAAGCGCAACAAAGUUUGAUCUAUACUAGCUCAAAGAUAUUUUUUGUAAAUUUUGUAAGAAUGCUAAACUGUUCCAUUAUUAUGCCGUCGUAAUUGACUUAGACAGUAGCGAGGUUGCCAACAUUUAGAAAGACCUCAAUGAAUAAACUGAACAAGCUUAUAUGAUUUAAAAAUCACCAAAAACUUGAUGCAGGUAGUGUACGAGGGUUGCUGCAUUUCCGCUGAAGAAGAUUGUAUGGUUACUUGUGCUGUGGCCUCACGCAAACAAAUCAUUUCCUGGCAGUAGUGUUUGCAAUAUUUUGGUUUGGCUACAAAUAAUAUCUUGUGUGACCUAUAAUUUUUUUCUGUGACGUGAAGGCCUAUCUCUUACAGACUUGAUAAUUGACACAAAUAAUUAUUUGUAAACUGACGUGCGACGUGUCGCACGUCUAUAAUCACGAAGCCGUCAGCCCCUUCCUUCCUAAACACGUGUGCGCGCCGCCGCCACUGACGGCCGCGACAGCUGUCACCGUCCGGCCAACACCGCGUCGCCCGUUGCCAAGGCGACCGCGCCGCGUCUGGGUUGCCAUGGUAACCAGGCAAGUGCGCGCGCACACUCCUACCGGCCGCCACCCCUCGCCUACCCCUCUCUCGCCAGGCCAGCCGAGUGCGCGCGCAGCUUCCCCCCCCUCCUCACCCAGCACCGCCUACUGGCCGCCACCCCUCGCCUACCGACAAGAGCCCUGACAGGCUUGUACCUCCCCCGCGCUGAGGGGCUGCGCCCCAGUGAUGAUCAAGCGGCGGCGGCGGCGGGAAGAGUGCCGGCACAGGACUCAAGCAAACAAGUAAAAAAAAAAAUUUAAAAAAAGGGAGUCAGUCGGUGCCCUCGAGGCACCACUGGCUGCCGAGCCUCGCUCACCGCGCCAUCACCGGCAGCCAAGCCUGCCAGCCAAGAGCAGAAGACAGGCAACCGAGUCCGCGAGUUAGUGUGUAUCGGGAGGCUGUAGGUACCAACCGCGAGUGUGCGAAAUAAAACUCGUACCGCAUAUCGGAGAGUGUUCUUUCGGGGUAAGGGCGAACCUCGGGGACCUAUCCGCCAGCCAGCCAGUCCGCCAGCCAGCCAGCCAGCCAGCCGCCCGUCAGCCAGCCAGUCCGCCCGCCAGCCAGCCAGCCAGCCAGCCAGCCAGCCAACCGCCCGCCUGCCAGCCAGCCAGCAAGCAGGUCAGCCCUACUACUGGGAGACCGCAGAGCCAAACCAGCCGCAGCCCCUCCACUCACCUACCUGUGCGGCCAUCCCACAACUUCACUGACUUGUCAAACGAUGCAGAUGCAAUCACCCGCAUGUCGGGGGAGAACUUCACAUCGUUCACUAGCUGCUGGUGACCCGUCAUGCGAGC